rnacentral:sRNA from 1 species
UGAUCCCUUAGGCUAUUCCGCACACAAUAUGUGGCGUGGGUUUUCUCCACGUAUAUGGAGG